AUGUCAGGUUAUAACUACAACUCCAAAACAAAUUCCCGACACAUGUUUGAACACCAAAUGUUAAGAGCUUUAAUCACAAACCACAAGGAGAAAAGGAAGUGGUGUGAGGUAAGAACUAGAAUACAGUUGUCAAUCCCGGUUCCUUCCACUGCCCUCUUCAAACCUAAACUCCAGACCAUUGCCCACAGGCCUUGCAUUGCUUCCACCACGGCCCUCAGCAAUGCGGAUGUGCAAAAGCAGAUUAAGCAUAUGAUGGCUUUCAUUGAACAAGAAGUCAAUGAGAAAGCAGAAGAAAUAGACGCAAAGGCAGAAGAAAAGUUCAGCAUCAAGAAAGGUCGGCUCGUGCAAACCCAAAGACUAAAGAUUAUGAGAAUACUACGAGAAGAAAGACAAGCAGAAGAAAAUUCAGAUGUCUAAUUUGAUGAAUCAAGCAAGGCUCAAAGUCCUGAGAGCGAGAGAUGACCUUAUCUCAGACUUACUAAAUGAAGCAAAACAGAGACUCGGCAAGGUGGUGAAAGAUACAACCAGGUACCAAGUGCUGCUGGAUGGACUGGUCCUUAAUGGUUUGUACCAAUUGUUGGAGCCCCGGAUGAUCAUUCGCUGCAGGCAACAAGAUUUCCCUCUAGUAAAGGCUGCAGUACAGAAGGUGAUCCCCACGUACACAAUCGCCACCAAGAAUGAUGUUGAUGUCCAGAUUGACCAUGGGUCCUACCUGCCCGAGGACACAGCUGGUGGAGUGAAGAUCUAUAACGGGAACUGUAAAUUCAAGGUGUCCAACAUCCUGGAAAGCCGUCUGGACCUCAUAGACCAGCAGAUGAUGCUGGAAGUGCGGGGAGGCUUGUUUGGUGCCAAUGCCAACAGAAAGUUUCUGGACUAAGCCUUCGGGAGGUGG